rnacentral:rRNA from 1 species
GCAUAUCAAUAAGCGGAGGAAAAGAAACCAACAGGGAUUGCCCUAGUAACGGCGAGUGAAGCGGCAACAGCUCAAAUUUGAAAUCUGGCUUUCGGGCCCGAGUUGUAAUUUGUAGAGGAUGAUUUUGAUGCGGUGCCUUCCGAGUUCCCUGGAACGGGACGCCAUAGAGGGUGAGAGCCCCGUCUGGUUGGAUGCCAAAUCUCUGUAAAUCUCCUUCGACGAGUCGAGUAGUUUGGGAAUGCUGCUCUAAAUGGGAGGUAUAUGUCUUCUAAAGCUAAAUACCGGCCAGAGACCGAUAGCGCACAAGUAGAGUGAUCGAAAGAUGAAAAGCACUUUGAAAAGAGAGUUAAAAAGUACGUGAAAUUGUUGAAAGGGAAGCGUUUAUGACCAGACUUGGGCUUGGUUAAUCAUCUGGGGUUCUCUCCAGUGCACUUUUCCAGUCCAGGCCAGCAUCAGUUUUCGCCGGGGGAUAAAGGCUUCGGGAAUGUGGCUCCCCUCGGGGAGUGUUAUAGCCCGUUGUGUAAUACCCUGGUGGGGACUGAGGUUCGCGCUUCUGCAAGGAUGCUGGCGUAAUGGUCAUCAACGACCCGUCUUGAAACACGGACCAAGGAGUCGUCUUCGUAUGCGAGUGUUCGGGUGUCAAACCCCUACGCGUAAUGAAAGUGAACGCAGGUGAGAGCUUCGGCGCAUCAUCGACCGAUCCUGAUGUUCUCGGAUGGAUUUGAGUAAGAGCAUACGGGGCCGGACCCGAAAGAAGGUGAACUAUGCCUGUGUAGGGUGAAGCCAGAGGAAACUCUGGUGGAGGCUCGCAGCGGUUCUGACGUGCAAAUCGAUCGUCAAACAUGGGCAUGGGGGCGAAAGACUAAUCGAACCUUCUAGUAGCUGGUUUCCGCC